UACGUAGGCAGCGAGCGUUGUUCGGAGUUACUGGGCGUAAAGGGUGCGUAGGCGGUUGUUUAAGUUUGGUGUGAAAUCUCCCGGCUCAACUGGGAGGGUGCGCCGAAUACUGAAUGACUAGAGUGCGGGAGAGGAUAGUGGAAUUCCUGGUGUAGCGGUGAAAUGCGUAGAUAUCAGGAGGAACACCGGUGGUGUAGACGGCUAUCGUGGA
rnacentral:rRNA from 1 species